rnacentral:rRNA from 1 species
UACAGAGGGGGGCAAGCGUUAUUCGGAAUUAUUGGGCGUAAAGGGCGCGUAGGCGGCCUGACAAGUGGAAGGUGAAAUCCCUCGGCUUAACCGAGGAACUGCCCCUCCAAACUGUUUGGCUUGAGACCGGGGAGAGGUGAGUGGAAUUCCCCAGUGUAGCGGUGAAAAUGCGUAGAUAUUGGGGAGGAACACCAGUGGCGAAGGCGGCUCACUGGACCGGUACUGACGCUGAGGCGCGAAAAGCGUGGGGGAGCAAACGGGG